CGCAGCCGCCGCUCCUGGCUCAGCCGCACGUCGGUGCUCAGCGCCUCCAGCCGCCGCCGGUACCGGCCCCCGGCACAGCGCAGCGCGGAGCGAACCAGGCGGUGCCGCAGCGCGGGGACAGCCACGGCCACGGCCACGGCCACGGCCACCGCCGCCGCCACCGCCAGCGCCGGCAGCAUCCCGGCACCCCCGGAGACCCCCGCCCGGCAGGCCGAACCAGGACCCCCUGCUCCCCCAUUAAGAGGAAGUUCCUUCUUGGGAAAAACCGGGCAAUCGGUCCGGUUUGCUUCACUUUUUGCCUGCAAAAAUGGCUCCAGCCCCAUCCCCAUCCCAUCCGCUGCUCUCUAGGGCAGAGCCCUCUGGAUCCGUCCUGCAUGUGCCAGGGGAGGCCCGAUCCCCCUGCCCUCAGAGACGGGGACCUCAAACGCUGGGCCUGGCCCCAGCAUCCAUCCGGUACACCAGCUGGAAAUGGAGAGCAUGCAGCCCCCUGGAGGGACCUGCCUCUGCCCGAAGACACACUUGGAACCCAGAGCUUUUGUGUUAUAAAAAUAUUCCGUGCUUUAUUUA